rnacentral:rRNA from 1 species
GACAGAGGUCCCGAGCGUUAGGCGGAAUCACUGGGCUUAAAGCGUGUGUAGGCGGAUGCCUAAGUACCUUGUGAAAUCCCACGGCUUAACCGUGGAACUGCUCGGUAUACUGGGUGUCUUGAGCCACUUAGGGGUUACCGGAACAAAUGGUGGAGCGGUGAAAUGCGUAGAUAUCAUUUGGAACGCCAAUGGUGAAAACAGGUAGCUGGGAGUGUGCUGACGCUGAGACACGAAAGCCAGGGGAGCGAACGGG